UCUGAGUUGGAUACCUGAUUAUUAAUGAAGAACAUGGUACCGUGAAAGGAUCGUGUGGUAGUGGGGAGGGAGAGAGAGAGAGAGGGAGAGAGAGAGGGCAAGAGAGCGAGAGAGCGAGAGAGAGAGAGAGAGAGAGAGAGAGAGAGAGAGAGAGAGAGCGAGAGCGAGAGAGCGAGAGAGCGAGAGAGAGCGAGAGAGCGAGAGAGCGAGAGAGAGAGACGGAGAGAGGAGUUCAGGUCUCUCUCUCCCACGAUCGUUGGAUCAUUCGAUCCUUCGGUCAUCGGUCUUUGGACCACGAAAACCG
rnacentral:lncRNA from 1 species